ACCAGAGAUUGCUCUGAAGGGAUAGGGGGUCCAACCAAGAUAACCUUUUGAUGUCAGGCUGUAUUGGCACAGGGGGAGGUAGUAACUAGAGUAAGGAAUCACUUUGUUGCUUUGUAGUUCUUUCUCUGUGACCUGUUCUGUGUUUCCAUUGGUGAAAGAUUUGUGUAAUUGUAUGGAGACCCCCUGCUGGGGGUCUGUGUAUAACUUGGCUGUACC